rnacentral:lncRNA from 1 species
CAGCUCCUUAAGAUAAUAUCUUAUGUGUGUGAUAACUGCAUCAAGGAUUAAGUGCUUUUUAAAUUUAAGCUCUUGAUACAUCCAGCAAAUUGCUGUUGGAGACAUCGGGCCUGGUGGUCCCCCACUGAUGGGCAUUCUGUGCUCAUGUUUCUGUUGCCUCACAGGCACUGUGUUGAAGAGUGUUUGUGUUAAUCCUAUUUGAUAUGCUUUGUUAUUCUUUUAAUUUUCAGAGAAUUCACGGCUGGGACCAGCUAGUCCAUGGCUCCACCUUCUUGGGAGCAGAUUAGAUCCGCUUUCAAGCCAGUGAGGUGAUCUGAGUCCCAGCAGCCUCAUCUGCCAAGUCAACCCCUGCACUGCAUUGAGAAAGCUGCGGUCAGAGAUUCAGAGUGAAGACAAGCGCUGUCCCACGCCAGAGCCCAAACCUGUCCCCGGGUUGGGAAGCUGAGGAGUGAUUAUUUGGUUCUCGGAUGCUUCGAGGGUGCCUCAUGUGGUAUGCGAUCAGUGCACACAUCCCAGAUUCCUGCUUCUGAGUAAUGAAGGCGACCAAACCACGUGACCCUGCCUGCAAAGAUCCCACCUGGACUCCCGGUUCCUCCAAGGAGCCAUCGUGUGGUUCAAAUCCAUCAGAAAUUCUCCAAAUCUCCACCCUCCUCAGGGUGCAGAGUUGGCUGCUUUUCUGUGUCCCCUGCUGAUCACCGCAACCACUGGGUGCCUUGGCCUGCGAAGCCUCAGCUGUCCUCCGUCUGCAGACGAGCCGAGGAGCAGUUGCCUCUGGGGUGCCACAGUUGCCCAGAAUCCCUGGCAGCCACCUGUUCAAAGAAUCUUGAAGCAAUCAGAUGGUUGAUGCAGAAGAAGGACAAGUGGAUACCUCUGAGCAAUCUGGGGGAAGAGAAUCAUGGUUUCCAUUAAACCCAGCCUGGGGUUUGAAAACUCUGGGCAAGGGAAGGUAUGUGCUUCAAGAAAAUUUCCUGGAUUCUUGCUGAACUAACAAGGCAAGGGUUUGCUCUUAAGCCUUACCACCUCAUUCCCUAACAGCUCUGUUCUGGGUUAAGUCACUUUAAUGAACUGCCCUGCCAUUCCCAGGUGAGAUGUAAAUUAGAACCUGCAGUCCCAAUACCAGAGCCAUGUUCUCAGUAUGUGAAGAAACCCUAACAGCCGAGACAGAAUGAAUGCCGGACUGAUAAAGGGGCCAGGUCUACACAAGCACACCCAUGGGACAACCCGAGGGCACGUUAUUUUGGUCGGAGUUAUCUCCUGGGUCACGGGCAUGAGACUAGGAAGGUCAAGGUUCGCUUGUUAUCGUUGUGUGCUGGGCUCUGCUGUGGGCGCCUUCUUAUUACAUCCUCA